AUGUACCCUUCUCUACGGAAUAGCCUCGGGAAACUGAGAGUAAUACCGUAUACGCCCUUCGGGGGAAAGAUUUAUCGGAGAAGGAUCAGCCCGCGUAAGAUUAGAUAGUUGGUGGGGUAAUGGCCUACCAAGUCUACGAUCUUUAGCUGGUUUUAGAGGAUGAUCAGCAACACUGGGACUGAGACACGGCCCAGACUCCUACGGGAGGCAGCAGUGGGGAAUCUUGGACAAUGGGCGCAAGCCUGAUCCAGCCAUGCCGCGUGUGUGAUGAAGGCCUUAGGGUCGUAAAGCACUUUCGCUAGAGAUGAUAAUGACAGUAUCUAGUAAAGAAGUCCCGGCUAACUCCGUGCCAGCAGCCGCGGUAAUACGGAGGGGACUAGCGUUGUUCGGAAUUACUGGGCGUAAAGCGUACGUAGGCGGAUCAGAAAGUAUGGGGUGAAAUCCCAGGGCUCAACCCUGGAACUGCCUCAUAAACUCCUGGUCUAGAGUUCGAGAGAGGUGAGUGGAAUUCCGAGUGUAGAGGUGAAAUUCGUAGAUAUUCGGAGGAACACCAGUGGCGAAGGCGGCUCACUGGCUCGAUACUGACGCUGAGGUACGAAAGUGUGGGGAGCAAACAGGAUUAGAUACCCUG
rnacentral:rRNA from 1 species